rnacentral:rRNA from 1 species
AUUGAACGCUGGCGGCAGGCCUAACACAUGCAAGUCGAACGAGUGGCGGACGGGUGAGUAAUGUCUGGGAAACUGCCCGAUGGAGGGGGAUAACUACUGGAAACGGUAGCUAAUACCGCAUACCAUCGGAUGUGCCCAGAUGGGAUUGGCUAGUAGGUGGGGGAACGGCUCACCGAGGCGACGAUCCCUAGCUGGUCUGAGAGGAGGACCAGCAAAACAUGAACUGAGACACGGUCCAGACUCCUACGGUAGGCAUCAGUGGGGAAUAUUGCACAAUGGGCGCAAGCCGGAUGCAGCCAUGCCGCGUGUAUGAAGAAGGCCUUCGGGUUGUAAAGUACUUUCAGCGGGGAGGCGUUACCCGCAGAAGAAGCACCGGCUAACUCCGUGCCAGCAGCCGCGGUAAUUC